ACGGAACAGAAGGAGAAAAUAGUAUUUCAGUCCCUGGGGCUUGUGCCCCAGUGACCCUGAGGGAUUAAAGGUGGAUAGAAUGCAAUCUGUGACAAGUUCUGACUUACUGAAAGGCUUUCAGUCAUAGAAGCUGAUCCUUGGAAUGGCCCUCGUGGGCCACCCGCUUAAAACAACUUGCAUCUGUUAAGUACCAUGUGCUAGACCUAGACAUUGGGGACAACACGUGGCAAUGGGUGAUUGGAGGCCAGUGAACUGACUGCAGUCCCGAAAGGUUCUAAGACACUGGAAAAGCUUUGCGUUCCAAUGCGCCUUGAUGACUAAAUCCAGAUGAAUCCUCAUCUUUCCUGAGCUCUCUCUCUCUGAUGCUAUUCACCAGUUCUUUUCCUCCUGAAAAUGGGUUCUUCCUUGGAGUUAUAUGACACAGCAAGACAGAGAAUAAAGAGAGAGCUUGCUUUCUUGGGAGAGAGCCGGCUGAACUGUUACUUUGUGAAGAAACAGUAUCCAAAAAGUAGUUCCCGAUGAUUGUGCCUGCAGAUUAUUAAUAGUGAUGACUUCAGUUAAAGAGAUAGUUUUCCUGAUUGGGCUGUAGAGAACUUGGAGAAACGGCAGGGAAAGAAGCUGAAAAGACCUCACUGAAUACAACUGCUUAAGCCCUAAUCUUAUCUUGUGAAGGGAUGACGAGAAUUCUCCAGAAGAAACUAUGCUUGAUAUCUUGAGUGAAUUAAAUAGGGCAAUUGUAUUUUCAGAAAAUAUCUCCAGUAGCCACAAGAAUGGUUUAAGGUGCCUCUUACUCGGGUUUGUGGGGCAGCUAGAAGGUCCAGUGGAUAGAACAGGAUUCAGGAAGACGUCUUCAUGACUUCAUAUCUGGCCUGACACUAGCAAUCUGACCUUGUACUUGAUCUUUGCUAAGGAAACCCCCAGCAGUCAUGAUGAGUUGGGCCUGACUGAAAGGACCGAACAACAAUAAAGUGUUUUGACCGUCUUUUCUCUCGUCAUUCUCUUGGUUCUGUUCACGUCUCCAACCAAUCUUUUUAGGUUUCUUUGCUGGUAAUCUAUCUCCGACCAUCUGAUUUAAGUGUGAGCCUAAUCUUAAGGCCAGGGCGCACAUGACUGUGUGUAUACACACCUAUGUGUUCCUUCAGCUUGAUGGUCUUUUUGCAGACCAUCUGCAUGUUCAUCUCUCUUCCUCCAGGUCCUACUCUGAUGCCUUAGCACGGCAUGAGAGUGACUCUGAGGGAUUAAAGGUGGAUAGAAUGCAAUCUGUGACAAGUUCUAACUUACUGAAAGGCUUUCAGUCAUAGAAGAUAGUCGGAGGCCCUCGUGGGCCAUCCAGUUCAGCUUAUUUGUAAGAAAAAUCCCCUUUAACACCCAGUAAGUGAUCAGAUCUAUGAGUUCUGCUAGAAGACUUUCAAGAACUGAGAACCUACCCGCCCCCCUCUCUCCAGAUAGGCCGUUUCAAAACGAGAGCUUUUGGCAGCUCUAAUUGUCAACAAGUUUUUCCUGACAUUGUCUGAAUUUUCCUCUUUGCAACUCUCACACACUGCUCUUGGUUGCAAGGGGUGCUGACUCCUCUGGGGCCAAACAAAACAAAUCUGAUGUCUUCUCCACACGACGGCUCUUCUGAGACUUGCGAGAGCUUUCGUGUUCUCUCCCGAGUCUUGAUUUCUACAGGAUAACAAUGUCAGAUUGAUUCAAUUGAGUCCUUUACGUCAUAGACUUGAGGCCUUUCACCAUCCUAGCUGCUUUCUUCUGGAUCCUUUCCAGUUUAUUCAUGUUCUUCUUAAACCACCAUGGCCAGAACAGCACACAAAGCCCCAGGGGAGCUUUGGUAGUACAUCAGGACCAUUAUCUCCCUGCUUCUGGGAGCUAUUCUUGUCUUCAGUGCAGCAUAAUGUUGAAUUAGCUUUUUAGGGGGGCUGUGUCAAACUGCUGACUCAUGUUGAGUUUGCAGUCUAAUAAAUCCUGGCCUUUUUUUAGUUUUGUUUUUAAUCUAUUUAUUUUUAAUACACAUUGCUUUAUGAAUCAUGUUGGGAGAGAAAAAUCAAUAAAAGAGAAAAGCCAUGGGAGAGAAAAAUCGAAAAACAAAAAAGAAGGGAACAGAGCAUAACGUGUUGAUUUACAUUCAAUCUCCAUGGUUCUUUUUCUGGAUGCAGGGGGUAUUUUCUAUCCAAAGUCUGUUGGGAUUGCCUUGGAUCACUGAACCACUGAGAAGAACCAAGUCUUUCAUAGUUAAUCAUCGCACACUUUUAUUGUUAUCGUAUACAAUGGUUCUGCUUGAAAUCUUAGCUUUUUCUAAACUAUUAUCUCAUCACUGCCUAAAAGAUUUAUGAAGUGGAUUUUUGAUAAUUUGCCCUUAGGGAAUUUCACCUUAUCAGAGUCCUUUUGGAUACUGAUUGUCUUCAGUUGGGUUAGCAGCCCCUCCCAAGUUGUCAGCUGCAGAUUUGAUGAGUGACCCAUUUAUGUCUUUGUCUAAGUUACUAAUAAAAGGCCGAGCACAGAUUUCUAGGACAGAGACCUCUUACCAAGCUGACCAUAAACCUUAGCAGCUAUUCUUUGAGUCUGGCAAUCCACCAGUUCUGAGUUAUUUGAUAGUAUUGUCAUCUAGUCCAUAUCUCUCCAUCUUUCCCACAAGAAGAGAUGGUCCAGAUCCCUUUCUCAAGCACUAGUGCUGGGCCUUGACAACAGACUAAUUUACUUCCAAGGACUAGCCUUGUUUAAUUAUGGAAAGAAUCGUCACCAAAUGAAAUAUUUGGUGAGAAAUUCUGUGGCCAAAGCAACCAUAGAAAACUAUAAAAUAUCCCUCUGUUUUGGGUCACACCUUUUUUUUUUUUUCUGAGGAAAUUGGAGUUAAGUGACUUGCCCGGGAUCACACAGCAAGGAAGUGUUAAGUUUCUCAAGUCCUCUUGACUUCAGGGCUGGUGCUCUCUCCGCUGCACCACCCAGCUGCCCCCCAGACCUAUUUCUUUAUUGACAGUGACAAAGGAGACCAAAGGUACAGAAGAAUCGGUUUUUAGACUACAAAAACUUAGUUAUUAGUAUUCUCAAUGCUGAUGACUAGAUUUUCUAGAGAAACUGGGUAGAGCAGUUACUUAUUAGAAGAAUUGAAUCAUUAGGUUUGAUGUAUUGUAUAUAAAGCCAGAACAUGAAAGUUUGCUAGUUACAGGGAGGGAUACCUAGCUCAUUUAAAUUCUUAGAAAAGAAGAUCAAGGCGUUUGCAGGAAACGUCUUUUCCUGAGCUAGAUACCCCAUCAUUUCAUAUUGUAUUGUUCCCUCUUUGGAAUUUCAAUGGCAACCGAGGACACCAGGAAGACAAUUGUAAACCUUAAAUAGCUGAUAUGGAAGAUAAAGAGGCAAUGAAAUUCUAUUAAGAUUUCAAUUUUGUUUGGUAUUUCAGUUGUUAAUGAAUAACUUGUGGUCUCCAAAGAUUCCCUCUCUAUUGCUUUGAGAUUUCCUUCUCUAGCUCGUUUUACAGGACGACACUGCGGCCAACAGGGUUAAGUGGUUGGCCCAGGGUCAGAGAGCUACUAAAUCUGAGGUCAGAUUUGAACUCGGGAAGAUGAAUCUGACUCCAGGCCUGGCAUGCCACUGAGCCACCUAGCUAGUUGCCCCUCAAGAUCUCAGUAAGACCUUCCAAAUUAAAUCAACAUAAGCUUAAAUGGAAAAGUAGCAAAAGAUCUGGAAUAGUUAAGUAUUGGAGAAGUCGGGGGGAAAAACUUGGUGAAGCAGUGAUUUGGAAUUACGAUGAGGAAAAACUAGUAACUAAAAAUAUGCACUUCCUUUGAAACCUUCUAUACCUCAAGGAGGUCGAACAGAAAUAGAGAUCCCAUAGCAGAAUGCCCACUGUAGAAUUUUUUGUGUUUGCAAGAAGACUGGAAAAGAAAUAGAAUCACAGGAUCUCAGACCAACCAGUGCAACCGAUCCAAGGACACCUAGGACAUCAAGCCACCACACGAUUACCCAGUCUUUGUCUGAUGCCUGCUGAUGAGGGGCAGCUCCCUAACUUCAGCGACUACUCAUUCACCUUACGGUAAGCAGUCAUUUUUAGGGAGUUUUUCCUGAUGUCAAACCUAAAUCCACCAGCUCCCAUCAUUUGCUUGCUGAGAUCGAACAGCUAAAAAUGCCUCCCUUAAGUCUUCCUUCUCUCCUCCAACUCUCUUCUCCUCAAAUGCCACAGCACUUCAAGAAGGCCCUUCACCAUCCUGGUUGGAUGUUUUCUGGAUGUUCUCCAAUUUAUCAGUGUCUCGUUAAAAUGUGUCCAGAACCGAGCUCAGUCCUUCAGGUGUGUCCCGUCCAGGGCAGAGGAAAGCAGGCCUUUUACUGCCCCAGUCCAGAUACCAUACCACUCUUAAUGUGACAUGAGAUCCACUGGCCUUUUUAGCCACUGUGUAUACAGUUGACUGUGCUCAAAUUCUACUAAGACUCCCAGAGACUUUUCUAGCCAUUUCUCUUGUACUUUUGAAGUUGAUUUUUUGAAGCUGAUUAAGACUACAUAGGAUAUCCCAGAAGUUUAAAAAAAAAAAAAAAAAAAGCUUAAAUUGCACCAAGAUUUUUGGGACUUGCUACUGGAAAGAUUUUUUUUUUUUUUUUUUUGGAAUUUGGACCCUGCCAGCCAGAGUAUUAUUACCUAUUCCUCUGUAAUCCCAAUAGCAAAGAUCUGUGGGCCACCUCAGCAGAAUCACCCUCCCAUUAAGGCAUUCAACGGUUAAUAUGGAUUCUUAGGAUCCAACAAUCAACUCAAUUCAAUUUUUAUUUGUGUCCUCGAGACUGGCCCAUUCUCUUUGUCUUUUCCAUAAGAUUAGGAUGAGACUAUUUAAAAACACUUUAUCUAAGUCUCGGCCAAAACUCUUUUCUAAGGCAAUCUCCUGACCCACAAGUUUAGUAACUCUGUCAACAAAGGAGAUAAGGUUUGGGGGAUAACUCAUGCGAAUUGGUUUCCUUUUCUAUGCUCAUUAACCACCCCUUUAAGAAUAAGUUUUCAGAAUUUUGCCAGGAAUCAGAGUCAAGCUCGGUAGCUUAGGUGACUCAGUGGAUAGAGUACCAGGCCUUGGGUUAGGAACACCAGAGCUCAAAUCCAGCCUGGAGACAAUAGUUGUGUGAACCUCUGCCUCAGCUUCUACAACCAUAAAGCAGGGAUAACAAUAGCACUUGCUUUCCAGAGUUGUUAAGAGCGUCCUGUAAGGCAGGGUUUGUAAAGCACCUGGCAUACCUUCACAAUAAUUGAGAAUUAAUAAAUAAUUGUUCUUUUCUCUCUUUGCCCAAUAGUUUGGAGACAUCACUCUUUUGGUCUUACAAUAGUCUUACAAUAGGUCUCCUUUUCUCUAUAAACACAGAUAACACUCUUAGUGCUUCAGUAGUUGCCUUAUCACUUCUUUCAGGAUAUAGUUCUUCGGCGACAAGAGACCAUAAAUUAUCUAUGGCAGCAACAAAGUCCUCUCUUAUCUAUCACUUUACUUAUCUGGGAUAUCUUCUUCCCUUCCUCUAAUAGCUAUAUUUGUUCUGUUUCUAGUUCAAAGAUCUUUCUUUGGCAAAUAAAACAGAAACAGAAUAAGGGAUAAACAGUCCUGCCUAACCCUUUGUCCACCAGGCUUGCACAGCAGUCGCCUUCUCUGGCCUUUAAUUCCUUUUGCGCCAACAAAGCUUAAAAAACAACCCUUAUGUUUUUAGUUUCCUUUAACCCUCCUAGUCAACCUAAGCUUUAGCAUUCCUAUUACUGUCCCUAAAGGAUUUCCACACCUUUUCAUAUUUUAACCUGUUUAUCACGUAUCCUUGUUCUCUGUUUGUUGGUUGGUCCUCUAGAAACUCAAGAUGGUUUCUCUUGGUGCCUAAAUUAGCAUUUCUUUUUCACAGCCUUUCAUCUCUCCUGGACUUUUCCCCUAAAGAAUCUGAGUCCAUGGGAUCCUUCUUCAGAAUCCUUUGGAAUCCCACUAAUCUCUGGUGUGUGAGAGACUGUGCCCUGCUUUCCUGCCACUAAUUCCAGGAAGGAGUAGUCACUAAAAUUUCUAGGCUAGGAACCAGUUCUUGUUGGCAAGAACAGGAUUUCUCCUAGCUAGCUCUUGCACCUUUAAGUGGACCAUUAUAGGAAAUUGGGAAGGGGUCCUGAUUUCUAACUAAGUGGAUCUUAGUUUCAGAGCUGAGCAGCAAGGGCCCAGGGGAUGUCUCCCAGGGCGGGUUGUCCAUGACGCGCUCUUCUGUCAAGUCUAUAGGGUGGGCGCCCACCUCUUUGCUGUUUCUGCCUAGGAUGUUCUGGUCCCACAUCCUGUUCCCAUUGGCCUCCGUCCAAACACCCUCUGUUAAGCGUCCCCCCCAUCCCCUUGUAACCUUGCUCUCUGAAUCAAGAAGAGGCCCCCAGGACUGAAUUUUACUCUAGGUCCUCAUUGCUUCAGUGACAGAACAGUGAGCUGGCACACAUGCCAGUGUGUGUGUCUGGAAAGCCUUGGGCUCAGCAGCUUUUCUGCACCUCAAAGAUCCUGGAGGGUGGCUGGGAAAGGGAGUGAGCCAGGAGCCAGGACAUGGGCCCCUCCUGCGUCCCUGGGCCACUCUGCCUUGCUGAACGAGCAAACCCAUUAUGACGGGCCUGUGUUGGGUGUGCCCGUUCCUGGCCAACACUUUUACUCUCUUUUAACCUGUGACCCAGAAAAACCUCCUCAGACGAGCAUCCCCAACUUCCUCAACAAACUUCCCUUAAGCCAUUCGGAGUCUUGAGCCUUCAGGGGACGGUGAGAGAAAGUGGGCCUAGGAGGUCACUGGCUUCUCCCCCACCAUGCCGGACUGACUCGGUCCUGCCCUUUGGAGGUUCCGCAGGCCUCCAGGGUUUCCUGAGGGAUCCAUGUUGCCUGGUUCUAUGGAUCUACCCUGAGGUUCUUUCUCAGGCCUUUAUCUGAACCCUGGGCCUCCUCCCCGACGCGGACAGGGCUCAUCUCGGGGUCUGCAGACCCCGUUUGGUUUCACAGUGAGGUCCCCCACACACCCAGCUGCAGCUUCCAGCACCUCUCCCCUCCCCUCCUGCAGUUCUCCCAGGGGCGCUCUCUUCCACAUACAAGCGAUGCUCCUCACAUGUGGGCGCAGAGGAUGGCGCACCAGCCCCAGAAUCAGGAGCCCCCGAGUUUGAAUCUGGCCUCAGACCUUCCUAGCUGCGUAACCUCCGCCAAGCCACUUAACCCCAGCUGUUUCACCCAAACCCAAAGCAGACAGAACACGGCUCUGACCUCGCUACUCCCCUGCUCCAGAAGCCCCAGAAGUCCCCGUUUCCCCCAAGAUAAAGCACACUCGUUCACUUGGCAUUUAAAGCCCAUCAUAACUUGCCUUCCCCGAGCUCUCACGGUCCCCUCACGCAUCUCAGCACCAGGUGGCGCCAUAGCGAACAGAGCCCGGCCUUCAGUCUGGGGAAGAAAGCGUUCAGAUCUGGCUCAGACCCCGGCAGGUGACCCGGCCCAGCCACUUGGCUCUGCUUGCCCCGACUUCCCCAAAUGUGAAAUGAACGGGAGAAGAAAAGGGCCAGCCCUCGGCAUCUCUGCCCCAAACAGAGGCACAAAGAUGGACAGGACCGAACGACAACAUGCACACUGCGCUGCGGCUAAAUCGGCUUAUUUUGUUGUUGGCCAUAAACAACAUUCCCUCUCUCACUUUGGGCCUUUCUGGAAGUCAAUCGGCAAACAUUUGUCAGAUGCCCUUUAUGGUCCAGGCCGUAUUCUAAAGGACAGAGAUUAAAAAACCCCAAACCAAAAACAGAGAGUAAAACCCCAAACCAGAAGUCUCUCUCCUCCAGGAAAGAGAUGCACACUGAGCUGAGGGAAGGCUGGGGGAGGGACCAGGAAAGGCUUCCCCCAGAAGGUGGCGGGGAGCAGAGUCCGACGGAAGCCAGAAGAGGGCAGCCCAGCAGGGUGUGGCUUUCCAGGAUCUGGGCGAGGGGAAGAGGAAAGCCUAAGGACUCUGGCAAAGUGGGGAGAAGCCAGGUUGCCAAGUGCUCCCCUCUCCAGUGCUUGGGUCAAGGGCCACUUCCCCCACCUGUCCUGAAACCACUUUUGCCCUCACAAAAUAUUGUUUCUCCCCUAGAUGCAAAACUCCUCAAGGUGGGAAUUGUUUUGGCUUUAUCUCCGUUUCCCCAGUGCGAGGCACAAAUAUUUACUGACUGAAAUCCUUCCUGUUUUUAAAGAACCCUUCUAUUGUCCGUGCUUCUCUGUGCGAGAAGAGUAUUCCCCAGGAUCCUUUUUCUGCUCUUCCAGGAAGAACGCCUGCCCUUUGCCUGCCUAUAACAGCUGUUUGGACCUAACAGAAACAUCAAUAUUGCACAUGCACGCAGGUGAUUGCAAAACCGGGCCUGACUGAAACUGCAAUCUCAGGGGCGCAAGCCAGGAAGGGCUGAAUAAAUAAUGGCCCAGGAAUGUGAGGUGGUACUGCCGGGUCCUGAGAAAGGAUUCCAGGGAAUGCUGGGUAACGUGGACUGAUGCAGAGUAAACAAGUCACUCAAGGACAACGGCCCGGUAAAGGAACAGACUUAAGGGCUGGUCAAAGCAGGGCUCAACUCUAACCAAGAUGAGCUGGCACGAAUCUGACAAUGAGAGGCAGAAACUGAACUUUGGGUCCGUGACCUGCCGCGUGGACUCCUCUUGCUUCCCUCUGCUUAGUAAUUAUAAAGUUUCGUUUUCUUUCUUUAGUUUGUUAAGGGGGCCUGGGAGGCACAUGUAGUGAUGAUGAUGGGAAAAAAGGGAGGGAAUCAUCGUGAUACUUUAAAAAGGACAUAAAAGAGAAUAGAAGGAAGGAGGACAGUUUUGAAAGUUAACAUAAAAUUCAUUAUAUACUAAAAAUGGAGAUUCAUAGUUCCAUAUAGAAUCCUCCUUUUGUGUUUAGCUGUGUCUAUGGAAAUACCCUUUUCAGGCGUUUUUAAAAAAAAACCCCAAAAACCCAAGAGAUUUACUUUGUCCUUCAUAUACAUUACAAGUGAGACCUUCCAUUGUUUUUCUUGGUACUAGCUCCCUUACAGAAUAAAUCAAACAGAUUCUGGAA